UACGAAGGGGGCUAGCGUUGCUCGGAAUGACUGGGCGUAAAGGGCGCGUAGGCGGAUGACACAGUCAGAUGUGAAAUUCCCGGGCUUAACCUGGGGGCUGCAUUUGAGACGUGCUGUCUAGAGUGAGGAAGAGGGUUGUGGAAUUCCCAGUGUAGUGGUGAAAUACGUAGAGAUUGGGAAGAACACCAGUGGCGAAGGCGGCUAUCUGGACAGUUUCUGACGCUAAGACGCGAAAGCGUGGGGAGCAAACAGG
rnacentral:rRNA from 1 species